rnacentral:rRNA from 1 species
GACGAACGCUGGCGGCGUGCUUAACACAUGCAAGUCGAACGGAAAGGCCCCAGCUUGCUGGGGUACUCGAGUGGCGAACGGGUGAGUAACACGUGGGUGAUCUGCCCUGCACUCUGGGAUAAGCCUGGGAAACUGGGUCUAAUACCGGAUAGGACCGUGCUUUAGUGUGUGCGGUGGAAAGUGUUUCGGUGCAGGAUGAGCCCGCGGCCUAUCAGCUUGUUGGUGGGGUAAUGGCCUACCAAGGCGGCGACGGGUAGCCGGCCUGUGAGGGUGUACGGCCACAUUGGGACUGAGACACGGCCCAGACUCCUACGGGAGGCAGCAGUGGGGAAUAUUGCACAAUGGGCGCAAGCCUGAUGCAGCGACGCCGCGUGGGGGAUGACGGCCGUCGGGUUGUAAACCCCUUUCGGCAGGGACGAAGCUUUUGUGACGGUACCUGCAUAAGAAGCACCGGCUAACUACGUG